rnacentral:rRNA from 1 species
CCUACGGGAGGCCGCAGUGGGGAAUUUUGGACAAUGGGGGCAACCCUGAUCCAGCAAUGCCGCGUGAGUGAAGAAGGCCCUCGGGUUGUAAAGCUCUUUUGUCAGGGAAGAAAAGGUUGCGGCUAAUAUCCGCGACUCAUGACGGUACCUGAAGAAUAAGCACCGGCUAACUACGUGCCAGCAGCCGCGGUAAUACGUAGGGUGCAAGCGUUAAUCGGAAUUACUGGGCGUAAAGCGUGCGCAGGCGGUUUUGUAAGACUGUCGUGAAAUCCCCGGGCUUAACCUGGGAAUGGCGAUGGUGACUGCAAGGCUAGAGUUUGGCAGAGGGGGGUAGAAUUCCACGUGUAGCAGUGAAAUGCGUAGAUAUGUGGAGGAACACCGAUGGCGAAGGCAGCCCCCUGGGUCAAAACUGACGCUCAUGCACGAAAGCGUGGGGAGCAAACAGGAUUAGAUACCCUGGUAGUCCACGCCCUAAACGAUGUCUACUAGUUGUCGGGUCUUAAUUGACUUGGUAACGCAGCUAACGCGUGAAGUAGACCGCCUGGGGAGUACGGUCGCAAGAUUAAACUUAAAGUAUUAGUUGAGUUGAGAGNGCGACGACGACGACGACGGAGGAGGAG